GAAGUGUCAUUCUGUUUCCUAACAUUACAGCUGUCAUUGUAUUACCUCAUUCUGUGGAAAACUGUGGCCAAAUAAGGUAUCAAUGUGUUGGGAGUUGAUAUCAAGUGAUUUUAUAUAUAUGUAAUUUUUUUUUUAGCCCUGCAGAAGCAUCCUCAGAACUUCCUGCGUUUAUUUUCACGAGGUGCGCAGGAGCUUAGCUGGCACUCAGCAAGUCAGAAGAGGGGGGUUUCCAUCCAACUUUGAUUUACGAUCCACAGAGAUGCCAAUUUCCUGUUUUUGAAGCGCUGCGGAAAACUUUCCCAAAUAUAAUCUGAUAGGCAACAAAGCCUCCUAACAGAUGUGAAGAUUCGAGGAAGGAUCCAAAGCACAACGGUGGGUGGCGGUUCCUGCUUCCAGCCGGUGGCUUCCACUCUCCACUUCCUUUGGGAAUCGCAGCAGGGUUGGCGAGAGCUGGCGAACAAUUUAGAAAGUCACUGUAAAAACACAGCCCUCCGGCAAGGAAGUAAGUAGUACAGAAAUAUGAGGGCACAGCCGGUGGAAGUAUCUAGAACACGGAAGGGCUGGGGGGUGGCCCAGUGCAGGGCAUUGGGCCGCUGCCA
rnacentral:lncRNA from 1 species